UACCAGAGUACUAUGAAUGAAUAAAAAUUUAAAACUCAAAGGACUUGGCGGUGUCUUAGACCAUUUAGGGGAACCUGUCUCGUAAUCGACAGUCCACGUUAUACCUGACCUUUCUUUGUAAAGCAGUUUGUAUACCGUUGUCGUCAGGUAACUUUUUAGAAAAAUGAAGUUAGCAAUAUAAAUAAAUUAUUUGGGACGUCAAAUCAAGGUGCAGCUAAUGGAAAGGAGAGGAUGGGUUACAAUUAUUUAAUUUAUAAUUUUACGGAUAUAGUUAUAGAAAAAUUCUAUGUAAGGAGGACUUAAAAGUAAAUUGAUAUAUAAAAACAAUUUGAAUGAGGCUCUGAGACGUGU
rnacentral:rRNA from 1 species